AGAGUUUGAUCCUGGCUCAGAAUCAACGCUGGCGGCGUGCCUCAUACAUGCAAGUCGAACGCGAAAGCGGCCUUCGGGCCGCGAGUAGAGUGGCAGACGGGUGAGUAACGCGUGGGUGACCUACCUUCGAGUGGGGGACAACCUUCCGAAAGGAAGGCUAAUACCGCAUGACAUCCCGCCCUUGGACGGGCGGUGAUCAAAGCCGGGGAUCUUCGGACCUGGCGCUUGUUGACGGACCCGCGUCCGAUUAGCUUGUUGGUAGGGUAGCGGCCUACCAAGGCGACGAUCGGUAGCUGGCCUGAGAGGGCGGACGGCCACACUGGGACUGAGAUACGGCCCAGACUUCUACGGGAGGCAGCAGUAGGGAAUUGUUCGCAAUGGGCGAAAGCCUGACGACGCAACGCCGCGUGGAGGACGAAGACCUUCGGGUUGUAAACUCCUGUCGAGCGGGAAGAAUUGCCAGCGGGUCAAUACCCCGCGGGUUUGACGGUACCGCUAAAGGAAGCCCCGGCUAAC
rnacentral:rRNA from 1 species